AUUACCCACUAAUUCUGUGAGAAUCCUACUCCACUAAUUCCAAGCCAUGAGAGGAUUUUCCUUUCUCAUACUGAGAUAGCAAUAGCAGUUGACUUAAAUCUUAGAUAUGGGACUCUUAUUUUGUUCACGUUCAACAAAUCAUGUCUGGACUGAAGCUAGGAAAGUUCCCUGUGUGUUCUAAUAAUAAGGUCAUGGGAAUACAAAUGGCAUAUUUUGUCAGGAUGAGAAGGCAAGUCUAAGAUCAAUAUCUGCUUGGGGGCCAUGGCGUGUCCUGUGCGGCAUUGCCCUCGCCGCCGCCGCCGCCCGGGGCGCCGUGUCUCAUGCGUCGCUACCUGACGUCCACUCUAGGAGCUGGGCUUGGCGGCCAAUGGGGCCAAGAAGGUCCCAUAUCGGAGGUCCCUGCUUGCGAACUCGCAGUUAGUUUGCAUGAUACAAUAAAUCUGCUUGCAAGGCUCUCGAUGAUGUAUUCACUUUCAACAAUUGCACCAGGGUGUGGUCAGUUGGAGAAGACAUUACUAUGAUUGUUUUUUCAGGUGAUGAAUUGUAACCUUAUAUCCUUUAUUACUUGAAAUCCAAAAUCAUUGGAAACAGUCCGUAAUUACUUUGGAGAGAAUCCUUUAUUAUUUUCUGUCUUGUUCAUGUUCAGCAUAGGAUGUAUAUCAUUAAAACCAUCCUGGUAUAUUAUUGUUCAUGUUCAGCAUAGGAUGUGCUUUGUCAUAUGUUAGACAAUUGCUGCCUAUAUGUUAUUAGUAUAUAGACUGGAAAUAUUUUUCUAGAUUGAAACUGCACGUCUAGAUUGAAAAUAAGCUAUUUAUGGUAUGGUUACCCAAGUAUAACAGCUACAGUACGUCAGUACUGAAUCUCGUCCUGAGAUCAAUCAGCAAAAGUUCGUAAUUGCUGAUAUAUUAGACGGACUGCUAUUUCAUAGAACUGAAAAGAAUACGUGUCCACUGUUCUCCCAAAGUUUCUCUUUGGCCAAGAUAAAUUGAUAUGUCUAAAGUUCCAAGUGAGAUAUGAAAUAAAUGCACAUGAACAAAUCUAGGGGUGUAGUGUUCUUAUGGUAUUUUUAGCUGGGGGUGCUUUUUUUCAUGGCUAGGUAUAAACU
rnacentral:rRNA from 1 species